rfam:Streptomyces sp. MTSC 1 23, whole genome shotgun sequence.
CUUCAGGGAGCCCAGCCAGAGCGGCCGGUCCUCGGCCCGGCCCUGCCCGUAGGUCGCCAGCAGGGCACCGGCCUC